GACGAACGCUGGCGGCGUGCUUAACACAUGCAAGUCGAGCGGUAAGGCCCUUUCGGGGGUACGACGAGCGGCGAACGGGUGAGUAACACGUGGGUGACCUGCCCUCCAGCUCUGGGAGUAAGCCUGGGAAACCGGGUCUAAUACCGGAUAUGACUCCAUGACGCAUGUUGUGGGGUGGAAAGCCUUGUGCGGCUGAGGAUGGGCCCGCGGCCUAUCAGCUUGUUGGUGGGGUGAUGGCCUACCAAGGCGACGACGGGUAGCCGGCCUGAGAGGGC
rnacentral:rRNA from 1 species